rnacentral:rRNA from 1 species
UACGGAGGGGACUAGCGUUGUUCGGAAUUACUGGGCGUAAAGCGCACGUAGGCGGAUUGUUUAGUCAGGGGUGAAAUCCCGAGGCUCAACCUCGGAACUGCCUUUGAUACUGGCAAUCUCGAGUCCGGAAGAGGUGAGUGGAAUUCCUAGUGUAGAGGUGAAAUUCGUAGAUAUUAGGAAGAACACCAGUGGCGAAGGCGACUCACUGGACACGUAUUGACGCUGAGGUGCGAAAGCGUGGGGAGCAAACAGG